GUGCGUCUAGUUUUAUGUAGAAAAUAAGGAUUUUGUAGUUCCUAGAAGGCUAGUAGUAGCCUACACACA
rnacentral:tRNA from 1 species